UGAUAGGACGGCUUUUAAAAGCGAGUACAGUAACCAACCAUUAUCAUUAGAGAAGUUGAAGUCUCCUCGAAGGCAGGUGCGAGGGACACAUAGCCUGUUAUGGGCUCCUGGAAACAACUCGGAAGGAAGCAGAAAUCUAAAAACUGCAAGAUGGACCUCACACUCUACCAAAUAAAAGAAUAUUGCUAAAGAACAAAUAAUUGGUACUGCUAAGGGAUGGUGCCAAAAAAAAAAAAAAAAAAAAAAAAAAAAAAAGCUUCUAAGGAUGCUGCUGGAGGAUACUUCUAAAGGAUGCUGUGAAUGGAAUGCUUCAAAAGGAUGAUGCUAGAGGGUGCUCUGAAAGGAUGCUGCUAAAGGAUGCUGCUGGAGGAUCCUGCUAAAAGAUGCUGCUAAAGGAUGCUGCCAAUGUUGCUAGGAUUGUGUCACUAUGACAGCACUGGCAGCCUUGAAGGUUUACAUCAGGCAAAGACGGAAUUCUGAAAACAUAACAAUGAGAAGAAAUGCAAUGCACUUUGAUGCAUUCCGCAAGUUUAAACCCAUGAAACCCUAACUACUAAGCCAUCUCUCUCUCUCCAGACCACCUUAAUUUAUUUUAACUGGAAAUAUACCUAAUUAUUUUUAACUGACAUUUUAUGUUCACACACACAUAUGUCUAAAACAUCACUCAAAAAUGUG
rnacentral:lncRNA from 1 species